rnacentral:rRNA from 1 species
UAGGGAAUCUUCGGCAAUGGACGAAAGUCUGACCGAGCAACGCCGCGUGAGUGAAGAAGGUUUUCGGAUCGUAAAACUCUGUUGUUAGAGAAGAACAAGGACGUUAGUAACUGAACGUCCCCUGACGGUAUCUAACCAGAAAGCCACGGCUAACUACGUGCCAGCAGCCGCGGUAAUACGUAGGUGGCAAGCGUUGUCCGGAUUUAUUGGGCGUAAAGCGAGCGCAGGCGGUUUCUUAAGUCUGAUGUGAAAGCCCCCGGCUCAACCGGGGAGGGUCAUUGGAAACUGGGAGACUUGAGUGCAGAAGAGGAGAGUGGAAUUCCAUGUGUAGCGGUGAAAUGCGUAGAUAUAUGGAGGAACACCAGUGGCGAAGGCGGCUCUCUGGUGUGUAACUGACGCUGAGGCUCGAAAGCGUGGGGAGCAAACAGG